CGAGCCAUGAUAUUGCUUAAACACAAAGUCCUGAAAGACAUACUUUUAAGACGUACUAAAUUGGGUCGGGCAGCUGAUCUUGCUCUUCCUCCUCGAAUCAUUUCUUUGAGGCGGGAUGCACUAGAUGUAAAAGAGGCUGAUUACUAUGAAUCUCUAUACAAAGACAGCCAGGCGGAAUU